rnacentral:lncRNA from 1 species
CUAUUACUAGGAUGAUAGCAAUAUCAAAUGUAGGUCGUUGUGUGCCACAUACGUUGGUUAUCCUCAUAAUAAAGUGGUGUGGAGAUACUGGUAUGGCAUAUAAGUGAGAUAUAAGACUACAUCAUCAUUAAAUAUGACCAACUAUGAAGUACUCUACUAUCAAGGGUAACUCACAAAGGGUAUGGGUAUAAGUGUCCUUUCGACCUG